rnacentral:lncRNA from 1 species
CCAGCUGGGGAGGAGAUAUGCGACUCUCCUUGACCCUGCUGGCAGUCUCCCCCCUCUUCACCACCUCUAAGGGGUGGCUUAGCCCCAAAACCAGUGGCUCGGGGCGCUCCAGUGGCGAGCACAGAUCAAAACCGCGCAUGAUUGCAGAUUUCGGUCUGUCGCCGAAGAAGCUCAAACUGGACAACAAGGUCUUUCUUGUUUGAAGGAACAAAAGAAAAAUCUGCCGGCUUGUACUGAUAAACAGUUUGCAUGGGUAUUUUUUAAUUUACAUUCUCAUGUUUGCUAAUUAUCUGCCACAUUGCACCUUAAGUUUCUCAAUAUUAGAAAGAGUAAUAGGUUACCUAUUCUUUUCAUGGUGUGGUUGAGUAUUCUUUUUAUUCGCUUAUGGUUAGGAAAGUUUGAGGAUCCCAGGAGGAGUCUCAUCCCGAAUAAAUCUCUGGAUAAGUCGAACUCAGGAAUCAAAAAACAACGAAGGAGUCAAGGAUGUUCAGAGAACUGGGAACACCAUACAGGGGAGUUAAUUGGAAAACUGAUCUGAUGGUUUGUGAAGGAAAUCCAAGAUGUAACCAGACAUGCUACUCUCAGGAAAACUUGCCCCCAUUGAAACAAAAGGCAUGGAUCUCUUGGAAUUCUACUAUGUCCCUCAGUUUAUUGCUCUAUUCUUCUAUAGAACUGACCACCUGGCAAAGAUAUCUAUCAGCCAACAAUGCCUACAGUGCCUUUUAUUGAAUGGGGCUCUUGAUGACUUAAACGAUUUGAUGGAUAGGAAAACUGACCUAUGACAGAAAAACUAUAUUUCUAUAAUCCAUUUUUAUCUUUUUAUUGCUAUAUCAUCCAUCCUUGUCAUCCAAAAUUAAGUUGAGUCUUACAUUUUAUUAGCAAAUAUGAAAUACAUAUGGCUUCUUUACUGGAUCAUGUUUCAGCUAUGUUUCCACCACGAUGAAUACUUUAUAAGUUUGCACCAAGCAUUUGCAAUUGUUGCAUAAAUGUAGCUUUGCCUGUUCUUGCUGAUCUUAUUAUUAUCUAAUUAUGUUAUUUGAAUAAAAGAGGGAUGUUUUAAUGGGGAAACUAUGCU